GACGAACGCUGGCGGCGUGCUUAACACAUGCAAGUCGAACGAUGAUCAGGAGCUUGCUCCUGUGAUUAGUGGCGAACGGGUGAGUAACACGUGAGUAACCUGCCCCUGACUCUGGGAUAAGCGUUGGAAACGACGUCUAAUACUGGAUACGACUGCCGGCCGCAUGGUCUGGUGGGGGAAAGAUUUUUUGGUUGGGGAUGGACUCGCGGCCUAUCAGCUUGUUGGUGAGGUAAUGGCUCACCAAGGCGACGACGGGUAGCCGGCCUGAGAGGGUGACCGGCCACACUGGGACUGAGACACGGCCCAGACUCCCACGGGAGGCAGCAGUGGGGAAUAUUGCACAAUGGGCGAAAGCCUGAUGCAGCAACGCCGCGUGAGGGAUGACGGCCUUCGGGUUGUAAACCUCUUUUAGUAGGGAAGAAGCGAAAGUGACGGUACCUGCAGAAAAAGCACCGGCUAACUACGUGCCAGCCGCCGCGGUAACAC
rnacentral:rRNA from 1 species